rnacentral:rRNA from 2 species
CAACUUUCAACAACGGAUCUCUUGGCUCUCGCAUCGAUGAAGAACGCAGCGAAAUGCGAUAAGUAAUGUGAAUUGCAGAUUUUCAGUGAAUCAUCGAAUCUUUGAACGCACCUUGCGCCCCUUGGUAUUCCGAGGGGCAUGCCUGUUUGAGUGUCAUAA